AACAUGACUUUUUGUUCACUAGAAACAGGAAAGAAUAUAUUGUAAAUAGUUAACCAAGGGCUAGCAACCUUGUGAUAGUUUACGAAGUUGAGAAACCGCAAAAGAUAAACAUUACUGAACUAAUCAACUACAAGUUGUUCCGAGUUUCAGACUUAAGCAAAGGACACCAAGGAAGACUACUGGGGCCUUCAUCAACGAUCAGCCGGAGGCAGAAAACGACCCCUAGCAACUGGGUGGACAUGCGCGGAAGGACGCUAGAGGGGUGACGUGGAGGAGAGUAUAAAAGGAGGAACAGAACGACUCUCGUUGCGCAGUUGGUGGAGCGGUGACUCCCCCUGUCGCCCAGCGCUGUGCUUUGCUUUUUCUUUUCUGUGUUAAUAAAUUGGUUUUAAUUGGCUUAAAUGGCCCAUUGUGCUCAUUUAUAACAGCUUGGUGCCGUGACUCGGAUCGGAGGCCGUAGGGGAGGAUUCUCAGUCACUAGGGGGGGCGCCCCACCAAUUUGGUGGCCCCGGUGCUUGAAAUCCACCCUCGACCCCGACCGACGAACCCCAAAAAAAAAAGAAAAGAGAAAGCAAAGGGGAUCCCGGAGUGCAAUUAAGGCACUCCGGAAGAAUUAAGGGCCCGGGGAACCCCCUUAAAAGUUUUGUGCACAAAGUCCGGACGAAGACGCGGGACGACGGUCCAGGGCGCGUGCAGCCCGGAGAUUGGGUGUUAGUCAGAAGUUGGAAGGAAAACCCACUAGUACCGAAGUGGGAAGGGCCCUAUUUAACACUGCUCACCACAGACACCGCCAUAAGAACAGCCGAGAAAGGGUGGACUCAUGCAAGCCGAAUAAAGGGGCCAGUAGACCCUUCCAACUUCCCAGAGUGUCCGGCUCCUCAGUGGAAAGUAAAGACACCAACAGACGACCUAAAGCUGGUAUUAACUAAGGUUACACCAGGGACGUCCGGACAAAGCUCAUAGACUUGGAGGAAGGAAAGACGGUACGAUUAUAAAUCCCUGCCCCUUAAGUAGUGGGAAAGACUGUCACCAGCAAACCAGGAAAGAAUCCAGCGAAAGCUAUCAUUGACUUUGUGUCCCUAUUUACCGAGCUUGAAUUUUUAACAGCUAACUUUUGCAUUUUUGUUAAUUAUUUAGCUUGCUGAACUUUUGUUAUAAAAUUGGUACAAGUUAAAACUUGUAAGAAGUUGUGAUAAAUCCACUGUCAGAAAAAGGGAGGGCCCAUACUUACCAACCGUACUGGGAGGGAUAGUUUGGGCAUAACCUCAAUCCGAGGCCUCAAAGCCGGGAUUGGGGCCUCUUAUUUGAAUUUGGCAAUACUGUUCUAACCAGCCUCUCGGCCCCCGCGAGGGUCAAGCCGUGGGCGAACCAACAGCUGCAGGUGCAACUCCCUGUGAACUCUCUCAAAGAGCGAGAGGAAUGUAAGUUCCAUCCCCAAAAGGAUCCUUGCUGCCAAGAAGAUAAUAACCCUCGUAACUAGCAGCAAACUAGUUGACGAGCGAGGCAGAGGGAUACUUGGUGAAAGGACGGAACCCCAUGGAGCUUACAGGCAAUGACCAAAGGGGCGAGAGGAUUCGGGUUAGAAGGAUGGGAAAAUUGGGCAGACUAAUUAACCAUACCCACACUGGCAGUGGAUUUUACUUAACUUUAAUGUGGAUGUGGAUGAUAUGGUCAUUGAUCAGGACAGCACUAGGAGACAAUGUACCAAGCCAUGAACCCUUUAAAUGGUCACUUAUCAGAUGGGAAGAUCAACGGGUCAUUGCAAAAACUACAACUUCGGGGGCCCCCUCUUUUAGAUGUCAGCUGUGUGACAUUAUCCAGACUCAGCCCUGUAAGAAUAAGGUAGGGUUCUAUAUGUGCCCAGCAUCAAAUCCAGGGAAGGCAUAUUGCAACUACCCUGGGGAAUUUUUUUUGUGAAUAUUGGGAAUAGGAACAGGAGCAGCUGCCUUAAUAAACCAACAAAAAGGUAUGAUAAACUUAAGAGCCUCAGUAGAUGAAGAUUCGAGUAGAAUCGAAAAGGCGAUAGAUGGGCUAGUCAAAUCAGUAAGGUCCUUAUCAGAAGUAGUGCUCCAGAAUAGGAGGGGUUUAGAUUUAUUGUUUUUACAACAAGGAGGGUUGUGUGUAGCCUUACGAGAGGAAUGUUGCACAUAUGCAGAUCACACUGGAAUAGUGAUAGAUACCAUGGCUGAGCUCAGGAAGCAAUUGGAAAAACGUAAAAAGGAAAGGGAAGCACAACAGGGUUGGUAUGAAUCAUGGUUCAACCACUCUCCUUGGCUCACAACGCUUUUGUCCACUAUAGCAGGACCUCUAAUAUUAUUUAUCUUGAUAUUAACCUUUGGGCCUUGUAUAUUUAACAAAUUGAUAAACAUAGUGAAGGGAAGAUUGGAGGCUGCUCACCUUAUGCUAGUUAGAGCAAGAUAUGAACCACUAAACAGUGAAAACGCAGAGGACUACUUGGAGCUCAGCAGAAAGGAGCUCACCAGGUUCAGUGAACAAAAAGAGUGAAAUAGAAAAAGGGGGGAUUGUGAUGGGAACAUGACUUUUUGUUCACUAGAAACAGGAAAGAAUAUAUUGUAAAUAGUUAACCAAGGGCUAGCAACCUUGUGAUAGUUUACGAAGUUGAGAAACCGCAAAAGAUAAACAUUACUGAACUAAUCAACUACAAGUUGUUCCGAGUUUCAGACUUAAGCAAAGGACACCAAGGAAGACUACUGGGGCCUUCAUCAACGAUCAGCCGGAGGCAGAAAACGACCCCUAGCAACUGGGUGGACAUGCGCGGAAGGACGCUAGAGGGGUGACGUGGAGGAGAGUAUAAAAGGAGGAACAGAACGACUCUCGUUGCGCAGUUGGUGGAGCGGUGACUCCCCCUGUCGCCCAGCGCUGUGCUUUGCUUUUUCUUUUCUGUGUUAAUAAAUUGGUUUUAAUUGGCUUAAA